CCUACGGGAGGCAGCAGUGGGGAAUAUUGGGCAAUGGGCGCAAGCCUGACCCAGCAACGCCGCGUGAAGGAAGAAGGCUUUCGGGUUGUAAACUUCUUUUCUCAGGGACGAAGCAAGUGACGGUACCUGAGGAAUAAGCCACGGCUAACUACGUGCCAGCAGCCGCGGUAAGACGUAGGUGGCAAGCGUUAUUCGGAUUUACUGGGUGUAAAGGGCGUGUAGGCGGGAAUGCAAGUCAUAUGUGAAAACCACGGGCUCAACCUGUGGCCUGCAUUUGAAACUGUAGUUCUUGAGUACUGGAGAGGCAGACGGAAUUCCUAGUGUAGCGGUGAAAUGCGUAGAUAUUAGGAGGAACACCAGUGGCGAAGGCGGUCUGCUGGACAGCAACUGACGCUGAGGCGCGAAAGCGUGGGGAGCAAACAGGAUUAGAUACCCUGGUAGUC
rnacentral:rRNA from 1 species